CCUCCUUAUUUCUUAAAUCUUGACUCCUCUUGAGUAAGAAUACUGGACAGUUCACUAACAUCCCACUUAUCCUUAAUAGUGUUAUAGUUAUUUGGAAUGGUCCAUACUCAAGAGGCAAUGAGUUCAGAAUAAACUGAACCAAGAAGGUGUCAUCCACUUUCAUCCCCAAGUUCGAAAGUCUUGUUGCAAUCUUAGUCAUCUCGAUGAUAUGAUUUUGCAUACUGUGCGACCCAUCAAACUUCAUGGUCGUGAGUUCAGCACCUUUACUUUAAGUCCUUUACCAGCUCCUUGACCCAUGAGGUUAAUGAAAUGACCUCCUUAUUUCUUAAAUCUUGACUCCUCUUGAGUAAGAAUACUGGACAGUUCACUAACAUCCCACUUAUCCUUAAUAGUGUUAUAGUUAUUUGGAAUGGUCCAUACUCAAGAGGCAAUGAGUUCAGAAUAAACUGAACCAAGAAGGUGUCAUCCACUUUCAUCCCCAAGUUCGAAAGUCUUGUUGCAAUCUUAGUCAUCUCGAUGAUAUGAUUUUGCAUACUGUGCGACCCAUCAAACUUCAUGGUCGUGAGUUCAGUCGUUAGUGUACCAGCGAGAGACUUAUCAGCAGAACGAAAACGUUCUUCCACAAACUUCAGGUAUUCCCUGGCACUUUCUGUUUGUGGAAUAGUACCCUUAAUGUUGUUAGCAACAGUCAUUCGCAUGAACAUUUAGCGAUGUUGAUGAGUCC
rnacentral:lncRNA from 1 species